GCCCACUUGGCGGAAUAGGUAGACGCAAGGGACUUAAAAUCCCUUGUCCGAAAGGACGUCCCGGUUCGAGUCCGGGAGUGGGCACCA
rnacentral:tRNA from 3 species